rnacentral:rRNA from 1 species
AGGAUAAACGCUGGCGGCGUGCUUCAGGCAUGCAAGUCGAACGAGACUUCGGUCCAGUGGCGGACGGGUGAGUAACACGUAAGUAACCUGCCCAGAAGUGUGGAAUAACCCACCGAAAGGUGAGCUAAUACCGCAUGUUGUGGUCUUUCUCUGGAGAGGUCACUAAAGGCGAAAGUCGCUUCUGGAGGGGCUUGCGGCCGAUUAGCUAGUUGGUGGGGUAAUAGCCUACCAAGGCUACGAUCGGUAGCUGGUCUGAGAGGACGGACAGCCACACGGGGACUGAGAUACGGCCCCGACUCCUACGGGAGGCAGCAGCUAGGAAUCUUGGGAAUGGGCGAAAGCCUGACCCAGCAACGCCGCGUGGGCGAUGAAGGCCUUCGGGUCGUAAAGCCCUUUUGCAGGGACGAUGAUGACGGUACCUGCGAAUAAGCCACGGCUAACUACGUGCCAGCAGCCGC